UGCGUAGGGUGCAGGCGUUAAUCGGAAUUACUGGGCGUAAAGCGUGCGCAGGCGGCUCCUUAAGUCAGAUGUGAAAUCCCCGGGCUUAACCUGGGAACUGCGUUUGAAACUGAGGGGCUAGAGUGUGGAAGAGGGGGGGUGGAAUUCCAGGUGUAGCAGUGAAAUGCGUAGAGAUCUGGAGGAACACCGAUGGCGAAGGCAGCCCCCUGGGCUAACACUGACGCUCAUGCACGAAAGCGUGGGGAGCAAACAGG
rnacentral:rRNA from 1 species